GCUUGAGAAAAGAAUUUCAGUUCAGCCUAAAGUUACCUUUUACAUCUAAAACCCAAAUUUUCUUUAGAGUAAUUCAAUUAAGGAACAGCCUUAUUGAAUCAGGACACAACCUUAUUUUAUGGGUAAUUACAUUAGAAUAUCAAAGUAGGCUUAAAAGCAGCCACCUUUCUUAAAGCGUUAAAGCUAAAUCUACGUCUCCCCUAAUACCUUCCCCCCACCCGACCCCUAUAAUAGUAUCAAGCAUCUCUAUAAUAUAUAGAACUCUUUAUGUUAAAACUAGUACCAAGAAGCAGACCCUUCUCUAUAAUGCACACAUAAGCCAGCCUGAACCUUUCACUGGCACUUAACAGCCCAAGCUUAAGUAGAACCUCCAUCACGAAAACUCUACUCUCCUUUCCCCCCUGUUAACCUAACACCAGAGCAUUACAAGAAAGAUUAAAAGAAAAAGAAGGAACUCGGCAAAUAUUUUUCCCGCCUGUUUACCAAAAACAUCGCCUCUUGAAAAAUCUAUAAGAGGUCCAGCCUGCCCAGUGACUCAGUUC
rnacentral:rRNA from 1 species